GGGGUAGAAGCUGUUCGUGGUCCUGUUCGUUCCAGACCCAUUUAGACAUGUCUCUAGAAAUGUAACGAUAGUCUACAAUUUAAAUACAUUUUAAGUGGCAAGAAUAAAUGCUAGAGUAGCCUAUUAUGCUUACAUUUAGGUCUCCCAAAACAGGUAGGCAUAUAACGCAUCAUUUUGACAAGCAAUAUUAUUUUGUAGAUUUAGUAAAUUUCAAGGGACCAACGCAACAAAUUCAAGGAUUUUGGCAACAUUAAAAAUCCCUGGUUCUAGGAGGAGGGCUUAAAUCAAUCAGCGCUAACUUCGACCAAUCCUGUUGACUGUGGGAGGAGACAGAAUUGCAAGGGGGUGUGUCUCUAGACAGUACGCAGUCGCUUAGUACCGUAUCCAACUCCGAGAGUAAUGAAUGGCAUGAGCAUUGCUUUACUAUUUUUGACAAGCCAUAUCAAAGCGCUACCUUGGAACAUACGCUACCUUCUAUCGGUUUGAACUUUUAUUCACAUUUAUUCACUAGGCAUAAACCAGACAAGGAGAAGAAGAAGACCGAGUUGGACUAAUUAGCCUACUACUAACUCGAAUCAAUAACUUAACCGCAAACUGACACAAGCUUCUACAUUUUCAUAUUUGUCAAGCCGAAAGGGAUUUUGUUUCUGGACAUGUGAAUCAAAGGAGUUACUGCGAACCCCUGAAAAUGAAGCUACUUGCAUCGGUUCUGUGUUGCUUGGGCUUUCUGCUCACUUCUGCGCUGUUUCGGAGGAUCUCUUCACAAGCAGGUAAUGUUGUGCAUCUUUAUUCAUUCCUCUUGGUUCUCCUUUGGACGUCUCAGACACACGGCCACUGCAGACUGCAACACGAUGAGUAACAAAGUUUGAUGUUGUGGGCCACGAACAUUGAAAUAUGCACACAUGCACGCAGACACUUGUGCACAACAUAGAGUAUACAUGCACACACAGCCAUACAUUAGGAUCCCUACAUGUAAAGAUGUAUUAUACUGUAUAACAGUGAGCCUGUCUCUCUUGGUAUCAGUGUGUGUGUGAAAUCCCUGUGAUGACAGCAUGCUAGUGUGUCAGCCCUUUUUACUGUGU
rnacentral:lncRNA from 8 species